UCUGACCUCAAAUCAGGUAGGACUACCCGCUGAACUUAAGCA
rnacentral:rRNA from 1 species